rnacentral:tRNA from 1 species
UAGGCAGAAGCCUGCUGGUUCGGGCAUAUAGCUGUUAACUAUAGGGUUAUGGGAUCGAGGCCCAUCUGUCUAG